UCUUUCUUCUCCUGAUCCGCGCCGCAAAAUAUCUUCCCAGCUUCUACCUCUCCUCCUCCGUGCACGACUCCGCCCGAUCCCGCCGCCUCUCUUUCUUUCCCCUGCCUCCGUCGGCGGCUCCACCCCCCUGCGCCAGUCACGCGCGGCCGUGGCCUCCCCAACACGGGUGACGCCGGUCUCCGGCUGCCCCGGCCAUGCGGCAGCGAUAGGACGGUGGCACGAGGCCACCCGACGGCGCCACCGCCCCAGCACGGACCUGCGUGGUCGCCUCUUCUUUUGCCCCUGCUGCGGCUCCGCUCGGCACCUCGGUCUGCCCGCGGCGUGUCACCUCUUCCUCUCCGUUGCCCCGGCUCAGCUCAGCGACCGGAUCUGGUUGUUGUAUUCAGAGAUGCUGCAGUCCUUAUGCUUAAUUAUGUUCAUGAAAUUAGACCGCAUGGUUUUAAGUUGGAGUACAGCUACUUCGAAAUUAGCAUGCAUAUUUGACUGAAUGGUUGUUAUAUUCAGAGAUGCUGUAGUUCUUAUACUGAAUUAUGUUCAUGACAUUCGAGCACAAGGUUUUAAGUUGGACUACAGCUAUUGCGAAAAUAAGAUGCAUAUUUGACUGAAUGGUUGUUGCUCAGUUUCACAGGUUGUGGCUUAGUUUUGCUGGAAUGUCCCACCUGCUUGCGAACUCCACUGGAUGGGUCUUCGCUCCUGCCCUCCAGACUUCGAUUGAUUGCAUAGGUAUAGUAAUUGAGAAAAUACUUCCGAACUAAUAUGUAUCUAGGUAUGGCCUUCUAAAUCUCGGUCAAUGGUCUACAUUAAACAGUCUAUAUUGUCUAUCAUGCCAUUUGUCUCCAAAUGAUUAUUUUGGCUUAUAUGCUUGGGUUUAGCUGAAAUGCAUGACUGAAUUGAUUACCUACACCUUUCUAUAAUACAUGCAUUUUGUUAUACUUUUCGCUAUACCUCCCAAUCUAAGUACUUCUCUAUUUUACUGCCGUCCUUCCAUUUUCAGGUCAGGAUUUAACUGAACAAAACUAGAUCUCGGCUGCAAAUUUUUUAGAGUAUUUCAAUUUAGGAUUGGUAAUUUUAGUUAUAUUUGUAAAUUAGCUUUCGACACAUAUCCAGUUUCUUAAAUCUUAAAACAUUUCAUAUCAGCUAGCUUAUUUCAUUGCGUGAAUAGGGAAAUAAACAGCUGCUCUAAUGGUCUACAUUUCUAUGUGCCUGUCCUGAUCAGAGGCCUGCGCAAAGUUCCUCAUGAACUGUGAUUCAUUGCAAUUUCUAUGAGAGGUACCUCAGAGACUCAGAUCUCCAUAUUUCUAGCAACCUUUUGGUUCUUAGAUUCAAUUGUUUCAGAAAUUCUAUAUGCCAUAUUUCGGACUUCCUGCCCCGUGCGAAGCACGGGGUACCUGCUAGUAUUCUAAAUUUUUGGUUGUUAGUGCU